rnacentral:lncRNA from 1 species
CGUGUUUCCGGUGUUUAAUAAUCAGUCGCAGCUGCUGCUUGUCUCACAGAAAUAAAAUGUCGCUCCUUAAUUCAGAUAGAUCACCUCCUGUCUCCAAAGUCUGGAUCGCACUGAGACGACUUGACAAAAACGAUGAACGAGUAGUGGCUCUUCGAAAUGUAUCCAUUCCUCAGGCUGAUAGUACUACAAUAAUCCAGAUUCUUUCCGAUUCCUUUGGGUUGAACACUUCUAAUGUCGUAUUCAAGAUUAGGAACCACCGUGGACGUCUGAUCCCUAUAAAUAGCUCCAUACCUGCCAACAGCAAGCACAUACCUCAUGUGUUGGAGCUAACCCGAAUCUUUCAGCAUGUGCAACCUAAACCCAGGAGCAUUCCCAUGACUGUGAUCAACACCAGUAUGAAGACGCGUCUGCAGACCAUUAACAGGAGGAUCCAGAGACUGAGUGACCAUCUGCCUCAGAUUAAACUCCGGCACAAUGAAAGACUAACGCAGGAGAUCGAAUGCCUCAACCAGAAGUUGAGUUUUCUUCACAAGAGGAUGCAAGUUGCAGAUUCCCACAGUUGGAAAGGAAUGCUGACCAGAGCCCCUUUCUGGUAGAACAAGAAAACUGUUGAAAUCAUUUAUUUAUUAGAAUGUUAUUCUAUUAUUUAGUUGUUGUUUUUUGCCUAACAAUUAAUGAGUUAUUCACUUGAAGUGUGAUAAUUUGUUACUAUCUAGAUUUAAGUUUAGCUUUAUGGUGUUUCAAUAAAAUGUACAGUAUGUUGUAAAUGUUCGUAUUA